UCUCUUAACAGUUUGCUGGAUAGUGGCUUGAAGAAGAUCAGUGAUGAGAUUUUUCUGCCAAAAAUAUAUUAUUACAAAUCACCAGGUUAUUAACACCCAUUUGAGAUUCGGUAUUUUUUUUCAUCUAAUGGAACUGAAUGAAAUGUUUGACUGACCUGAUGACAGCUAGUGCCUCAACCCUGUCCGCAGAUGCUCUUGUUUUGAAGUGACCGGAAGAAGCGGCAACAUGGCGGCGGCAAACCCGGGAAGUUCUUCGCUGGCCCAAAUAGCUGGGGAGAGGGAACUCUGGGUCUCUCUGCUCAGGCUGGUGCCUCUGCAACCCGACCCGACCCCACCCCGGAUAAGUGGAAGAAAAUGGAUGGAUGGAUGGACGGACGGACGGAUGGAUGGAUGUUACGGGGGAGCUGGUGCCCAUCUCCUGCGGUCUACCUGCAUGAGGUGAGGUGCACCCUGGACAAGUCGCCAGUCCAUCGCAGAGCAACACAGAGACACAGGACAAACAACCAUGCACACCUAAAGGCAAUAGAGAGAGACCAAUUAAUCUAACAGUCAUGUUUUCGGACUGUGGGAGGAAGCCGGAGUACCAGGAGAGAACCCAUGCAUGUACAGGGAGAACAUGCAAACUCCCUGCAGAAAGACCCCCGGCCGGGAGUCAAACCCAGGACCUUCAUGUGUAUAACUUUGAAACUAAAGAGUUGCCCGCUAUUGUAAGCAACGAGGACCAGUCAACAUUCUUACAAGAUUUUUUCUUCUAGAACAUUUUUUCAUUCACAGCUCAGAGGUGACUUGGGCCAAUUUGUUUAAGGAAUAUUUCACAUUAAAAAAUAUUUUCAAUAAUUUAGAAUCUGAUGUAACACUUUUCUGAGCCAAUUCUGCAAUUAUUUAAAGGACCUUCUGUUUGUGGUAUUCAGAGAAAGAACAAGGUGAAGGCACGGACGUAAACUGACAUACCAGUCAUACUCUUGUCGUACACCACAGUUUGUUUUAGCCAACAGGAUUGAACUUGAGUGGAUUAGUCUUUGUAAGAAAAACAGAAAUUAAAUCACAAAUUCAGGGCUGUCAGUGCAAUUGAGGGUAAAAAGCAAAGAUAGUUCACUGCAUAGCCUGAGGUGCAGACAUGCCCAACCACAACCAUUGCCAUUAGAAGAGGUCAUACAAAGGCAAACACAAACACAACAAAUCAAACACACCAGUCAUUAGAAGAGCAUGAAUACAAUCAGUUAGAGAGUGAAUGCCCUGCAGAACACCUUAGAAAGCAGGGCCAUGCAGAGACCAUAAAAGGGGCAGGUGCAGGGGCAGUAAAAAAAAAGGGGACACAUAACCGGAUUCUAGGGCAGAAUAUUAGCAAGAACCUCACACAGCUUUUACACUUCAAUGUACUAUGAUGUAUUACAAAAAAGUAAACAAUGCAAUAGUUAAAUAAAAUGCAGGGAAAACUAUAAUAUAGAACACAACAACAUGCAGAUGUGAAUUAAAUAUUUUAUUGUGAUCUGUAUUUCAUUCUGCAGGACUCAUUUCAUCAUAGAGAAGUACUGAGACAUUCAAAGCUACACAUGAGCAGAAUAUGUAAAUUAGAGAGCUAGAUUACUGAACGUAUUUUGUUUUUUUACACAAUUACACUGUUAAAAAUAUAAACAGAGAGUCACAAUACAACCUUUUAGUGUACUAUAAUAAAGACCCUAAUGAUA